rnacentral:rRNA from 1 species
GUACACUCCUACGGGAGGCAGCAGUGGGGAAUAUUGGACAAUGGGCGCAAGCCUGAUCCAGCCAUGCCGCGUGAGUGAUGAAGGCCCUAGGGUUGUAAAGCUCUUUUGUGCGGGAAGAUAAUGACGGUACCGCAAGAAUAAGCCCCGGCUAACUUCGUGCCAGCAGCCGCGGUAAUACGAAGGGGGCUAGCGUUGCUCGGAAUCACUGGGCGUAAAGGGUGCGUAGGCGGGUCUUUAAGUCAGGGGUGAAAUCCUGGAGCUCAACUCCAGAACUGCCUUUGAUACUGAAGAUCUUGAGUUCGGGAGAGGUGAGUGGAACUGCGAGUGUAGAGGUGAAAUUCGUAGAUAUUCGCAAGAACACCAGUGGCGAAGGCGGCUCACUGGCCCGAUACUGACGCUGAGGCACGAAAGCGUGGGGAGCAAACAGGAUUAGAAACCCCAGUAGUCCCA